UAAUGUAUGGGGAUCUGCCCGAUAGAGGGGGAUAACUACUGGAAACGGUGGCUAAUACCGCAUAAUGUCUACGGACCAAAGCAGGGGCUCUUCGGACCUUGCACUAUCGGAUGAACCCAUAUGGGAUUAGCUAGUAGGUGGGGUAAAGGCUCACCUAGGCGACAAUCUCUAGCUGGUCUGAGAGGAUGAUCAGCCACACUGGGACUGAGACACGGCCCAG
rnacentral:rRNA from 1 species